rnacentral:rRNA from 1 species
GGUGGUUGGUGGGGUAAAAGCCUACCAAGCCAUAGACGGGUAGCUGGCGUAAGUGCGUGACCAGCCACAUCGGGACUGAGACACUGCCCGGACUCCUACGGGAGGCUGCAGUCGAGAAUCUUUCCCAAUGGACGAAAGUCUGAGGAUGCGACGCCGCGUGGGGGAUGAAGGUUUUCGGAUUGUAAACCCAUUUUAUUGUGGAGGAACGUCAUAGGGUUAAUAGCCUUGUGAUCUGACUGUACACAAUGAAUAAGCCACGGCUAACUCCGUGCCAGCAGCCGCGGUAAUACGGACGUGGCGAGCGUUACUCGGUUUGAUUGGGUGUAAAGGGUCCGCAGGCGGCUAUGUAAGUGAAAGGUGAAAUCUUUCGGCUUAACCGAAAAACUGCCUUUCAAACUGCUUAGCUUGAGGAUGGAAGAGGAGAGUGGAACUGCCGGUGUAAAGGUGAAAUUUGUGGAUAUCGGUAGGAACGCCCGUGGAGAAGUCGGCUCUCUGGUCCAUACCUGACGCUCAGGGACGAAAGCUAGGGGAGCGAACAGGAUUAGAUACCCUGGUAGUCCUAGCUGUAAACGAUGGGCACUAGGUGUUUGUUCGUAUGAAUGGGUGCCGCAGCUAACGCAUUAAGUGCCCCACCUGGGGACUACGGCCGCAAGGCUAAAACUCAAAGGAAUUGACGGGGGCCCGCACAAGCGGUGGAACACGUGGUUUAAUUCGAUGCUACGCGAGAAACCUUACCAGGGUUUGACAUGCUGGAAGUAGUAGCCUGAAAGGGCGUCCGACCUGUAACCAGUCAGGUACCAGCACAGGUGCUGCAUGGCUGUCGUCAGCUCGUGCCGUGAGGUGUUCCCUUAAGUGGGAGAACGAGCGCAACCCUCGCCUUUAGUUGCUACUUUUUUGGUUUACCAGAAGAGGCACUCUAAAGGGACUGCCCGCGUUAAGUGGGAGGAAGGUGAGGACGACGUCAAGUCCGCAUGGCCCUUAUGUCCUGGGCGACACACGUGUUACAAUGCCUGCUACAAAGGGACGCCAAACCGUGAGGUGGAGCAAAUCCCAAAAAAAGCAGGCUCAGUUCGGAUUGCAGGCUGCAAUUCGCCUGCAUGAAGCCGGAAUCGCUAGUAAUGGCGCAUCAGCACGGCGCCGUGAAUACGUUCCCGGGCCUUGUACACACCGCCCGUCAAGCGCUGAAAGUGGGGGGCACCCGAAGACCCAUUUUUAUGGGGACACGGUGAAUUUCAUGAUUGGCGCUAAGUCGGAACAAGGUA